AGGAGGAGGCCUGGGAGAGGCAUCGGGCGCCAGCUUACCAAGUUUACUGAUUCGUUCAAGGUGUGCCUCGGAGGAGCACCUCGCUUCUAUUCGAUCGAGAUGAAGGAGUUUGAUCUCUCCUCGAAGUCGCUAACAGGAAACCUCACGUCCGUUCUUCUCGGACACAUGCCGCAAUAAAUCGAUACGAUGCAUGUGCAUUCGUGUUCAUACUAAUUGGAAUGCUACGUGCGCCUGUUGGAAUUCAGGUCGAGUUGGGCCGAGCGCGUAUCUUAUGCUCCAUCGACGUUUUGUAAAAGUACCCCUUUUCCUGAGUAUACAUCAGUUAUGACUCAAUCGGAUCGAUGGCGAAGUCUCUUCCAAAAACGUAAUCCCUGAAAUGUCAACUAUUAAAAGAUAAGACAUUCUAUACAUGUCUGGCGAAUGGAAUUUAAGCAGAAUGACGGGGCGUGUAAUGAAUGAAUGACAUUUAGAAUAUGGAUUUUGUCAUCGCUAUGUCGGCGAAGAAUUUAAGUCGACAAGAGGUCGACCGUCCGAGAAAGGACAGGAGUCGAUCAACCGAGAUCUAUGGAACCGCGAAUGCGAACGAUUCUUAUAAAAGCGUAGUCGACUUUAGCGAGGAUCCGAUGAGCAGGAGAAA